rnacentral:lncRNA from 1 species
UUUACGUUAAAAUUCCAAGCUGCCUAAUGACUUAGGCGAUUUCUCUAUUAUAUAGACUUAGAGAAAUCGCAGCCCUAAAGAAACAAAACUACAUGAAGUUUAAAUAAAAACAACAGGAAGUUUGAUUUAAAAUAAAAACAGCGAGGCGUCCCUAAAAUCCUAAGUGGUGCGCCAAAAUACUAAGUGCACAAGUCAUUGUGACUUUGCACAUUAUUACCCAUUAGUAACAACUUCUAAGUAACUCGACGUAGCAAUGAUUUCUG